UACGAAGGGGGCUAGCGUUGCUCGGAAUCACUGGGCGUAAAGCGCACGUAGGCGGCUUUCUAAGUCAGGGGUGAAAUCCUGGAGCUUAACUCCAGAACUGCCUUUGAUACUGGAGAGCUGGAGUCCGGAAGGGGUGAGUGGAACUGCGAGUGUAGAGGUGAAAUUCGUAGAUAUUCGCAAGAACACCAGUGGCGAAGGCGGCUCACUGGUCCGGUACUGACGCUGAGGUGCGAAAGCGUGGGGAGCAAACAGG
rnacentral:rRNA from 1 species